AUUGAACGCUGGCGGCAGGCCUAACACAUGCCAGUCGAACGAGUGGCGGAUGGGUGUGGAAUGUCUGGGAAACUGCCUGAUGGCGCGGGAUAACUACUGGAAACGGUAGCUAAUACCUCAUACUAUUCGUCGUGCCCAGAUGGGAUUAGCUAGUAGGGGGGGUAAAGGCUCACCCAGGCGACGCUCCCUAGCUGGUCUGAGAGGAUUACCAGCCACACGGGAACUGAGACACGGUCCAGAGUCCUACGGGGGGCAGCAGUGGGGAAUAUUGCACAGGGGGCGCAAGCCUGAUGCAGCCAUACCGCGUGUAUGAAGAAGGCCUUCGGGUUGUAAAGUACUUUCAGCGGGGAGGCGUUACCCGCAGAAGAAGCACCGGCUAACUCCGUGCCAGCAGCGCGGUAAUAC
rnacentral:rRNA from 1 species